GAUGAACGCUGGCGGCGUGCCUAAUACAUGCAAGUCGAGCGAACGGACGAGAAGCUUGCUUCUCUGAUGUUAGCGGCGGACGGGUGAGUAACACGUGGAUAACCUACCUAUAAGACUGGGAUAACUUCGGGAAACCGGAGCUAAUACCGGAUAAUAUUUUGAUCCGCAUGGUUCAAAAGUGAAAGACGGUCUUGCUGUCACUUAUAGAUGGAUCCGCGUUGCAUUAGCUAGUUGGUAAGGUAACGGCUUACCAAGGCAACGAUGCAUAGCCGACCUGAGAGGGUGAUCGGCCACACUGGAACUGAGACACGGUCCAGACUCCUACGGGAGGCAGCAGUAGGGAAUCUUCCGCAAUGGGCGAAAGCCUGACCGAGCAACGCCGCGUGAGUGAUGAAGGUCUUCGGAUCGUAAAACUCUGUUAUUAGGGAAGAACAUAUGUGUAAGUAACUGUGCACAUCUUGACGGUACCUAAUCAGAAAGCCACGGCUAACUACGUG
rnacentral:rRNA from 1 species